GCGCCAAUCACCCCCGGACACGCGUCGAGCGCCGCCUGGGAAAACGCGGCUCCAGCCUCCUUGCGGCACGCGUCCCUGGCAACGCCACCCGACCUGCGCCCGUCAGCUUACCCGAUACCCGCGCGGCAAACCAAACCAAAUCGAUGACCCGCGGUCCACCCGAGCCACUGCGUUCGUACUGAACCCGCGACUGCAGGAAAUUCUGGGCGCGUCACUCUCGCGCGUGGAACCCGCGAGUGGUUGCUCCCCGGCGCGUGGCUGGCGCGUGACCAAAUUGAGGGAAAAUCACCGCCUUUCGAUACGUUAAGUGUGUGGAAACGCUGCUUAAGGACACGCGCCAUCCAGGUAAGUCACCACACGGAUUUUUAGGAAGUAUUACUUGUAGGAACCGCUUGGAAUGCAUGCAUGCUAGUCUGAAUAUCUUAGGUUCUAGCUUUCCGUUAAUGAUCGUAGGAAAUAGUUUAUUGAACAUUAGAUGUAUUUUGUGAUUUGUUAUGAGAGUUACUUGGAUACUGCUGAUAUGAUUUUAGUUUCUGCUGAAUUUGCAUAUGUAUGUUUUCAUGCUGAAUGGAGGAUGGGAAAUUGCGAACUCUGCGCUCCGGGAGUUGAUGGAUGUUAUCACCCCGUUGAGCUUGUAUGAUCACUUUGCAUGAAAUGCCUUUGAGGAUUUUGGAUAAUAGUUAUAACAUACUCAGUUAAUUUUUCAUGACUCGCAAUUAUGAAUAAGUCUAGGGAUUCUUAGUUAGAGUAACUAGGUACUAAGGUAUUAGAUCUAAUCUUUUCCCUAGUAGAGCAACAGACCACCACGGUGUAUGAAGCCCACUAGGAUACCCUUAGGCUACAGGUGUGUGAUUGGUGUCAUAGCUUCGUGGGGGAAAAGGGGGUUCCUGAUCAGAAUCCGACUAUUCUUAGCCGUUUUAGCAUGGGAAACGUGUGCCCACGUCGUAUAGACCAUUUAGCUGGAUGGGUUAAGGGGGGUAGCUCUCCCCGACCAGGGGGACUGUCAUGGGCCUAGGGGGUUGCAGCUCACUUCCUAGGUAAGUUACCAGAUAGUCUCAGAGCCAUGCCGAGGUAGCUACUCGUAGGGCACCAGUCAUUACACAGGUUAGCUUAAGGGAGUUCUUAAGAAUCUUUAAAUGAAAGGACAAAGAACCAAGUUGUCGCGAGGGGUAAGUCCUAAGGUCCUAAGACGAAAACCAGAGGUCCUAGAGCUAUUGUAGGGUCCGUGGAGGGUGGUUGCUAAGAUUAGGAAGCGGUAAGAGCCUAUAAGUAGGUGGCUUACUGAGUAUAAAUUUUAUACUCAUUCCUGUUAUACUUUUUUUUUUCCAGGUACGUGACGCGUCGAGUCGAGAGAGGGCGCAUUAAUCGAUGUGGGUUGUCACAGAGGAGGCGUGACCCGGGGCGUCAGUCCAGUCUUACUAAAUAGAACACUUGUCCUUCACGUUUUGCUUUUUUUCCUUUUUUUUUCUUUUUUUUUUUACCUAGACACAUAUGUCCUUUUAGUAAAGAAACGUUUUUUUCACAAAAUAAAUGAAAUUCUAUUGUUGUAAA